UUAUUUACAUGCAUUAACUCAUUUAUUUAUUUAUUUUUUCACUGUUCAAGGUUUAUUGGGGGUUUUAGUUGGUAUAACACUUGGAUAGUUAGCUGCAUUGUUUACAUGUAGAUCUUUUUACAUUAUAUGGUAAUGUACACUGCUGAUACAUAUAGUUCACAAAAUAAGAUCCUUUGGAACAAUUAUGCACAAGACAUACGAUAUUGGAUUUACACACUGGAUCCCAGGAUGUGACUGACUGGGAAAAAACGUUGGACUAGGCAUGUUCAGUGAAGGAGCCAGGAAGUUAUAUAACACACGGUAAACAUCCACCUGGCUCAAGGGGCAAAUGCAGCAUGUACAGCAUUGGCAGUGGUGCAUCAGAGGUGGCAGAACUACUUCACACUAACCAGUUUAGGACUACACAAGAUUAAUACCCCCCAGCCCAGAAUCUACAGCUC
rnacentral:lncRNA from 1 species